CAAAGGUUUGGUCCUAGCCUUAUAAUUAAUUGGAGGUAGAAUUACACAUGCAAAUUUCCCUAAACCAGUGUCAAAUCCCUUCAUAAUUUUACAUUAAUAAACUUAAAGGAGAGGGURUCAAGUUCAUACAUAUAUAGCUUUAGACACCUUGCCUAGCCACACCCCCACGGGAUUCAGCAGUGAUAAAAAUUAAGCCAUAAACGUAAGUUUGACUAAGUCAUACCUCUAAGGGUUGGUAAAUUUCGUGCCAGCCACCGCGGUCAUACGAUUAACCCAAAUUAAUUACUUCGGCGUAAAAUGUGUUAUAUAUUACCAUAAUAGAGUUAAAAUUUAAUUUAUAUGUGAAAAUUCAUUGUUGAACUUAAAACCAGUAACGAAAGUAACUCUAAUAUAUAAAUACACGAUAGCUAAGACACAAACUGGGAUUAGAUACCCCACUAUGCUUAGCCGUAAACUUAGAUCAGUUAUCUAACAAAACUAUCUGCCAGAGAACUACUAGCCAUAGCUUAAAACUCAAAGGACUUGGCGGUACUUUAUAUCCAUCUAGAGGAGCCUGUUCUAUAAUCGAUACACCCCGUUAUACCUACCAACCCCUUGCUAAUUCAGCCUAUAUACCGCCAUCUUCAGCAAACCCUUAAAAGGAAUUAAAGUAAGCAAGAUAAUUACCAUAAAAACGUUAGGUCAAGGUGUAGCCUAUGAGGUGGGAAGCAAUGGGCUACAUUUUCUUAAAAAGAACACUCACGCUAUCCCCCAUGAAAUUAAGGGACUAAGGAGGAUUUAGUAGUAAAUUAAGAAUAGAGAGCUUAAUUGAAUAGAGCAAUGAAGUACGCACACACCGCCCGUCACCCUCCUCAAAUUAGAUAAAAAAUCUUAUCCAUAAUUAUUUUAAAACCUAUCAGAGGAGAUAAGUCGUAACAAGGUAAGGAUACUGGAAAGUGUGCUUGGCAUAAU
rnacentral:ncRNA from 1 species